rnacentral:snRNA from 1 species
CAUCCUUACUUUCCCGCUUGCAGU